UACGGGGGGGGGCAAGCGUUGUUCGGAAUUACUGGGCGUAAAGGGCUCGUAGGCGGCCAACUAAGUCGGACGUGAAAUCCCCAGGCUCAACCUGGGAACUGCGUCCGAUACUGGAUGGCUUGAAUCCGGGAGAGGGAUGCGGAAUUCCAGGUGUAGCGGUGAAAUGCGUAGAUAUCUGGAGGAACACCGGUGGCGAAGGCGGCAUCCUGGGACCGGUAUUGACGCUGAGGCGCGAAAGCCAGGGGAGCGAAACGGGG
rnacentral:rRNA from 1 species